rnacentral:rRNA from 1 species
UACGUAGGGCGCAAGCGUUAUCCGGAAUUAUUGGGCGUAAAGAGCUCGUAGGCGGUUCAUUGCGUCGACUGUGAAAACCCGAGGCUCAACCUCGGGCCUGCAGUGGGUACGGGCAGACUAGAGUGCGGUAGGGGAGAUUGGAAUUCCUGGUGUAGCGGUGGAAUGCGCAGAUAUCAGGAGGAACACCAAAUGGCGAAGGCAGAUCUCUGGGCCGUAACUGACGCUGAGGAGCGAAAGCAUGGGGAGCGAACAGG